rnacentral:rRNA from 1 species
CCUACGGGCGGCAGCAGUGGGGAAUAUUGGGCAAUGGGCGCAAGCCUGACCCAGCAACGCCGCGUGCAGGAAGAAGGCUUUCGGGUUGUAAACCUCUUUUGUCAGGGAGGAGUAGAAGACGGUACCUGACGAAUAAGCCACGGCUAACUACGUGCCAGCAGCCGCGGUAAUACGUAGGUGGCAGGCGUUGUCCGGAUUUACUGGGUGUAAAGGGCGUGUAGCCGGGUUGACAAGUCAGAUGUGAAAUCCUGCGGCUUAACCGCAGAACUGCAUUUGAAACUGUUGAUCUUGAGUACUGGAGAGGCAGACGGAAUUCCUAGUGUAGCGGUGAAAUGCGUAGAUAUUAGGAGGAACACCAGUGGCGAAGGCGGUCUGCUGGACAGCAACUGACGGUGAGGCGCGAAAGCGUGGGGAGCAAACAGGAUUAGAUACCCCAGUAGUC